CCGAAACGUUCUGCUUUUCUUUCUUCUUUCUUUCUUCUUCUUCUUCUUUUUUUCUCUCUCUUUUUUCGCCUUCUUUCUGCCCCCGCUGCUUGCUUUACAGUUCAUCCAUAGCUGGCUCGUUUGUUUACAGUCUGAUUCGCGGCCCGGGCGGUCAUUCGCUUCCGGGACGGAGCUGUUGGCAAGAUCUGCUGCACGUGAUGACAUUGCUGUUCAUUUUCUCGGACUUGGAGGAAGUGUUGUAUUCAGACCUUACUUAAUAAGUGCUGGUCAGUUAAUUGAGCAUUCACGUUGGCGGACUUGUGAAGUUGUAAACUUUAAUUAGCUGAUGGCGUAGCAUUCUUGCCGUGGAGUCACAGGGAUUUAUUCUUGAAGGAACUGUUAAUAAAAUGGACCAUUGUUUUAAAAACUUCUGAACAGAAUACUCCGAUUAAAAGCUGAUGUGUACGAACGUUUUCAGAGUGCAAGGAUAUUCAUUCGAGACAAUCGAGAAAGCGUUUCCUUCUAGCAGACAUGGACGUGCAAAACAGUCUGAAGGCUUCGUUGGAUCUUGAUUCAUAACAACAAUUUGUUUGCGUUGUCUCUCCGUUGUGUCAUCGGAUUUCUUCUUUAUAUUCAGCAUUUUUUUCCUCGUUCAGCAAACAAGACGUCAAAUGUAUCUUUUCUGAAAAAGUUGUCUACAAUGUGAACAAACGAGUUUUUAAAAUUUUUAAAGCGUGACUUUCUCCGCAUGACUAAAAUGUGAACAGAGUUGCUUUGUUUCUUUUUGUGUUUUGACCGGAUCUACCUGUAUUAAACGCUACCAAGACCUUAAUGUGAUUCUCCCAUUCUUCACGAUGGAGGGGAAAAGUAGCAACAUGAGUUAUCUCUGGAAGUCUUUACUCAAGAAA